rnacentral:tRNA from 1 species
UCCUGGCUGGCUCAGUCGGUAGAGCACACGACUCUUGAUCUCGGGGUUGUAGGUUUAAGACCUAUGAUAGGUG